CCAGGAAUCCAACCCUGAUCUCCUGCCUUGCAGGCAGAUUGUUUACCAACUGAGCUACAAGGGAAGCCCAAGCUGGGGGCUAGCAGAGGAUGGUUUCGAUCCAUCGACCUCUGGGUUAUGGGCCCAGCAUGCUUCCACUGCACCAUGCUGCUCUACCUCCCACUCUAGAAGAAUAUUAAUACCCUCUUCUAGGAAUGUUCCCAGCCUUAAAAAUAGCUCUAGAAACCUGUAUGUACAUUUUCCAUGAAUUCAAUCAACAAACACGUUUUGAGCACCUCCCGAGUACCAGGUCCUGGGGAUACAGUGGCAGCAUCACAAACCCGGUGUCCUGACUUCCAGGUGCUACCGAUUUGGUCAGUUCAGUCGCUCAGUCGAGUCCGACUCUUUGCGACCCCAUGGACUGCAGCACGCCAGGCCUCCCUGUCCAUCGCCAACUCCCGGAGCUUGCUCAAACUCAUGUCCAUCGAGUCGGUGAUGCCAUCCAACCACCUCAUCCUCUGUCGUCCCCUUCUCCUCCUGCCUUUAAUCUUUCCCAGCAACAAGAUCUUUUCCAGUGAGUCAGUUCUUCGCAUUAAGUGGCCUAUUUGGUAGAAAAGGACAAAGAAGAGCAUUACCUUCGAGGUAGUUAAGUGUUAACGACAGAGUGUACAGAAGCAGUGAGGAAAAGGCUACAGAUCUCAGGAGGACCCAAAAGAGUAGGGGCGGCUACAGGGGGGGAAAAAGUCAAAGAAUGGAUCCUGUAACCCUCUACUCUUCUUCGCCUUAACCAAUCAGGCGUCAGCAUCGCCCGGCCGGCAGACCAAUCAGAAGCCGGAACAGGGGCUCUAGUCGCCGAUAGAGGCUUCCCCGGGGAGUGUGGCCAGGGCCCGGGUGCCCCGCCCCACCACUCAAGGCCCCGCCCCCAGGGCGGCGGGCCACGCCCAGACCCCGCCCAAGGCCCGCCCCGCCGCGGCCAGCAGCGCCUGCCCCCGAGUCCCCUGGCCAGCGGACGGCUGCUGGGGCCGAGUAUUGUCUUAAACGCCGAAAAAAGAAGAAAGGCGGGAGGGUGGGGAACUGCCAAGUGACCGGGAGAGGAUUUAUAACAUGUUCUUUCACCGUCGACAAUAUUGCACAAUGUAUGAAAGAAACGGUAUCGCCUGGACAGGAGCGUGAGGGCGCGGGCAAGCGUUUCCCCCCUACCGGAAAUCUGAUGGGCUUAUGACAUCAUGGCUGGCUGCUGAGCGAUGAAGUGGAUGCCACAAAGAAACCCGACAUAUCAGAUGGAUUCUGUAAUCAGUUUCCCUCCGGCUGUAGUAACAGGCGCAAAGUCAGGAGGAGCUGAGCUUUGUUUAAAAAACAAAAAAUAGAACUAAGACUUAACCUGUAUUCAAUACAUUUUUUUUUUUUUUUCAAAAGCGAACAGACCUUUUGGACAUCAUCCUAUUUGAAUAGAAAUGCUGGUUUUUAUGGAAUGAAAGUGGCUAAUAAACCAGACCUGAAACUGCCUGGGAACGCA